AGUGAAUAGAUACCCGGGUAGUCCACGCCGUAAACGAUGAGUGCUAAGUGUUAGAGGGUUUCCGCCCUUUAGUGCUGAAAGUUAAACGCAUUAAGCACUCCGCCUGGGGAGUACGGUCGCAAGACUGAAACUCAAAGGAAUUGACGGGGGCCCGCACAAGCGGUGGAGCAUGUGGUUUAAAUUCGAAGCAACGCGAAGAACCUUACCAGGUCUUGACAUCCUCUGACAACCCUAGAGAUAGGGCUUUCCCUUCGGGGACAGAGUGACAGGUGGUGCAUGGUUGUCGUCAGCUCGUGUCGUGAGAUGUUGGGUUAAGUCCCGCAACGAGCGCAACCCUUGAUCUUAGUUGCCAGCAUUCAGUUGGGCACUCUAAGGUGACUGCCGGUGACAAACCGGAGGAAGGUGGGGAUGACGUCAAAUCAUCAUGCCCCUUAUGACCUGGGCUACACACGUGCUACAAUGGACGGUACAAAGAGUCGCAAGACCGCGAGGUGGAGCUAAUCUCAUAAAACCGGUUCUCAGUUCGGAUUGUAGGCUGCAAC
rnacentral:rRNA from 1 species